rnacentral:rRNA from 1 species
CAGUCGCCACGGGAAUACGUAGGUGGCAAGCGUUGUCCGGAAUUAUUGGGCGUAAAGGGCUCGCAGGCGGUUUCUUAAGUCUGAUGUGAAAGCCCCCGGCUCAACCGGGGAGGGUCAUUGGAAACUGGGAAACUUGAGUGCAGAAGAGGAGAGUGGAAUUCCACGUGUAGCGGUGAAAUGCGUAGAGAUGUGGAGGAACACCAGUGGCGAAGGCGACUCUCUGGUCUGUAACUGACGCUGAGGAGCGAAAGCGUGGGGAGCGAACAGGAUUAGAUACCCGAGUAGUCCCUGUCUCUUAUAA